AGCUGGCAGGGAGUGGAGCCAGAGGCAGAAAAGGAGAGAAAAGUUUCCUGCCGUCUUCAUUAGUUGACUUCCCAGUCCACAGCCACAGCUUCCCGGGGCUGCAGAAUUCACUCUCAAUAAAGAAAGGAGGCAAAAAAAAAAAAAAAAAAGUCCUGUGUUUACAAGACCAGAAAUGCCAGCGCUAAGUCCUUCCAGAGAGAAAGGCUGAAAUGGAGGACCGACGCCUUCCUUAUAAGCUCAUCGGAGCACGAUAGAAAAGCAACUGUAAAGGCAGAGAGAAUAAGAGCGGAAGGAAGGAAGUCAGCGCCAACGUAGACCAAAAGGAACCACCCAGAAAUGUAGAAAAAGGAGCCGGCAGAGGUCCCCAACAUCGGUAGAAGGACAGAAGACACGCACGGAGAACGGUUUAUGUUUUGUUUUGUUGUUUUUUAAAUUUCAACUUGGAGCUCAAUGAAGAAAAGGCAAAAUAUAGGCCAGUGGACCAGAGGACCGGAAGAGGACCAGUCAUAGCUCACAGUGUGCCGGGUCCAGAUGGAAGGAACUCCAGACAAACCCCAGUGGCAGGAUAGGCACAGUCCUGAAGGCUGGGGGCUCGCCCCUUGAAACCCUCUUCGCAGGCUGCCUGAGUUCUUUUGCUCUCCUUAUCAUCCCCAUCUUUAUGACGAGGCUUGUUAACAUGACCAGCGAUCUGACCACGCACAUCUAUCUCCACCGCACACGCACUCAGCCGAGCAGCUGAGCUGGGGGGACUGAGAGGCACUAAUUAAUUGAUUCCUUGGACUGUAAAAUAUGGCUGUGUCUACACACACGGAACCUGUGGACUCAUAAACAAUAUGUCUGCAGAUGUGAGUGCACUGUCUCUUAAAGAAUUUUUCUAUAGUUAUGUGCCUAUUAGAAUCCAGGAUUUGAAAGACUCAAAUAAGAUUGCUUUUUCAUAAGCCUCAACACAGUACAAUGUCAGAAAAUUCUGCAAAAACUUGGGUUAUGGAAUAGGUUUUCUCUGCUGUUACUGUAGACACACAAAUUGGCUUCUGACUGCUAAGUGUUAGGAUCAAAAUCAAAGCCCAGCUGAGAAGGCCUGAAUGAAGCCUUUGCCCUUCCUGGGAGAAGGGGAAUGGGCCCAGGUUCAGGCCUUACUUCAUAAUGCUGCUUAGGCUCAAGAUUAUAAUAUUAAUAUAUAUAUAUAUUUACAAACCCUAACCUAAAGGAGCCUAACCCUAACCCUUACCUAGCUCUCCAGAUCACUGUCCACCCCUUAACUAUCUGUCUGCAUAGAGCAUUGCUAUAACAUGCUUGCAUUAGUCUUGGAAGAAUGUGUCUUGAGAUGCAUACGUAAAUAGCUCUAACAAUUCUAUAUAAUCAUGAUUCCAUAGUGAAUCUUGAUGCAAAUAGGCGUUAAUAUGUUCUCAACAGAUACCAGAUUCAGACAAGAGACACAACAGGAAACUAAAAGUGACCAUUUAUACAACAAUGUUUGCUGACAUACAUGGCUAGUUCAAAGACAAAAAUACUAGGCAGAAAUAGAAAAACACAAAUAGAAACACAAAUAGGAAAAACCAAUUAACCAGUGGAGUUUGUCAUUACCAAUGUCAUCAUUGCUUCCUGAUUUUGGGUGACUCUUUUAAACCCGGCUGUGUUCCCUUCAUUCAGCAUGGCAGAGAUGGUCUACCUUCCCAUACCUUCAGCUCUGGCUCCAAUAUUUAUUUUUUAAAAAAUCUUCAGAGAAAUGUAUACCACAAACAAUAUGUGCAUCUAAAGAAUAUGCCAAUAUAAUUUACAUAUUUUUUUCAUAUACUAGGCUGAUAUGCAAUUUGUAUGUGUGUAAGAAUGUGAUAUAAUUCUGAGUUUUUACUGCUGUAGUAAUAUUUGGGUGCAUUUCAUGCAAUAGUUCCAUAUGCUACAGAAUGUAGAUACACGUGACUAAAUGAACUCAGAAAAGCACACCCUUUAUGUAGGAUAUAUGAACGCCUUGCUUACAAAUGCAAAUAAAUUCUUGCUUGUGAAUCU
rnacentral:lncRNA from 1 species